GACGAACGCUGGCGGCGUGCUUAACACAUGCAAGUCGAACGGAAAGGCCCGCAUCAUUUUUUUGGUGGGGGUGCUCGAGUGGCGAACGGGUGAGUAACACGUGGGUGAUCUGCCCUGUACUUCGGGAUAAGCUUGGGAAACUGGGUCUAAUACCGGAUAGGACCAUGGUUUAGUGUCUCAUGGUGGAAAGAUUAUUGUUUUGGUGCAGGAUGAGCUCGCGGCCUAUCAGCUUGUUGGUGGGGUAAUGGCCUACCAAGGCGUCGACGGGUAGCCGGCUGAGAGGGUGGACGGCCACAUUGGGACUGAGAUACGGCCCAGACUC
rnacentral:rRNA from 1 species